rnacentral:lncRNA from 1 species
AUGGCACAGCAAGGUGAGUUUCUGAUUGGACUCCUCAAUGAACUAGCCUGUUGGGCUUUGGCACCUGGAGCAGAGUCAUUCUUCAGGUCCCUUCUGUUAGGAAGGAUUUGGAUGCGCUCCUUGUUUGAGUGCUCCAAAUAUGAAAACCAAGCAGAUAGCUGUACCUUUGAACUUCCUCUUACUUGGAGGACUUUCAGUGUUUCUUCUAUCUGCAGGAAUGUCCUCAGGAGGCUUGGAGCCUUCAUGCUGGUCAAUCUUCCCAAGAAGAAAGGUGUAUUGAGACUUCAAAUGCUUCUAGUUUGUCUUCACUGCAACCGAAACAGUAGCCAGCUGAACAUGCUGACAUGUUAAUGCGGGUGGUCAAGGCUCAGGAUUCAGAGCAGAAGAUACACAUAAAUACUGGUGAAUGAUGCCAUCGACGAUGAUGAAAUGAUCAAACGAUGGAUGAUGCCAUCGAUGAAAGAUGGAAUGGAACUCAAAUUUGGGUGGUCGCACAAGUGUGGAGACUUGAAUUUAUAUAUACUUAGUUAGUCUCAAUGUUAGCAUAAAUAGUUGAUGAGCAAGUUUUCCCAUUGUAUUUUAGUUUGAAUUUAGAGUACAUUUAUGUAAGAGUUAUUUGACAAUGCUUAUUUAUGAGAUAUUGA